CAGAAGUAAGAACCGGAAGGAAGUGGGAAAAACAGCAAAACAGCAACUAAAUGUGCAGAGAGAAUCAGAUAAAAGGCUGCAGAGAGAAAAAGGAGGGUGAGAAAAACAGUUUCUAAAGAACGGAGGGGGAAUACAGAAAGGCUCCAGUGUUGCUUUAAAAUAGAACAUCUUGAUGGCAACAAUAACAACACAAAAAUAAAGUUCAGGACUGAUCCUGCACUUUGUUCAAAGUGGACUCUUCUGCACAUGUGACCAAUGGUCCUCAUUGACUAUCCCUCUUUCUAUUAAAUAAUGCUUUGUCACCCUCUCUUGAGCCAGACCAUGGGGUUGUAUUCACCUCACGGAUGCCCCUCUUUAUGUGGCGGAGCUUAACAGGAUGCUCCGUACAGACGCUCUUGGACACAGCAAACGCCGGGCACAGAAGAAAUGAAUAGGGUGCUCUGUGGUUUCCCUUAAAAGAGUGUUUGUGUGUGCACUUGUGUGUGUGGGUUUGCUGCAGGGGCUGGUCUGUUAGGGCCAUUUGUUGGCGCGUGCACAUGUGCUUGUGUGCAUUUGUGCAGAAUGUGCAUGCGAGGCCCUGA
ensembl:lncRNA